GAUGAACGCUGGCGGCGUGCCUAAUACAUGCAAGUCGAGCGAACAGACGAGGAGCUUGCUCCUCUGACGUUAGCGGCGGACGGGUGAGUAACACGUGGAUAACCUACCUAUAAGACUGGGAUAACUUCGGGAAACCGGAGCUAAUACCGGAUAAUAUAUUGAACCGCAUGGUUCAAUAGUGAAAGACGGUUUUGCUGUCACUUAUAGAUUGAUCCGCGCCGCAUUAGCUAGUUGGUAAGGUAACGGCUUACCAAGGCAACGAUGCGUAGCCGACCUGAGAGGGGGAUCGGCCACACUGGAACUGAGACACGGUCCAGACUCCUACGGGAGGCAGCAGUAGGGAAUCUUCCGCAAUGGGCGAAAGCAUGACGGAGCAACGCCGCGUGAGUGAUGAAGGUCUUCGGAUCGUAAAACUCUGUUAUUAGGGAAGAACAAAUGUGUAAGUAACUAUGCACGUAUUGACGGUACCUAAUCAGAAAGCCACGGCUAACUACGUG
rnacentral:rRNA from 1 species